CAGGAAGUGGUAGGGGGGCUGGGGCAUAGGGUGGUAGGGACGCUGUGACAGGUGGUAAGGACGCUGAGAUAGGGCAGGGGGUCAUAAAUACCUUUAUAAUAAACGUAUUCCCUGGUGGUCUGGUGGGCAGGCUGUAUCCCUGGUGGUCUGGUGGGCUCCCUAUCUGGUCUGCAGCUCCGCCGGGUGCAGAGCUGAAGACCACGUGGGAAGUCUCGCGAUCUCCAGUCAGAGCUUUACUGCGGUGACCCGCGGCAACACUCUGAUUGGCUGAUAUCGCAAGACCCCUCAGUCUGCAGCACUGCACCCGGCAGAGCUGCAGAUUGGAAGCUGGCUAUCUCCCGGGCAUGUGGUGUGGAGGGGCCUCGCAUCCAGCGGCAUAAAGGGCAAGCUGCCGGACCCCCUCCGGUGUCAGGCUCUCAGUCUCUGACCAAGGACCCGACAUGUCACACUGCCCUAAGGUGAUUUAGGCAGCUGCCUAAAUUGCCUAAUUAGAGAGCCGCCUCUGUGUGUGUAUGGGGGACAGUGUGUGUAUGUGUGUAUGCAGGGACGUUUUAGCCGCGAGGCAAACAAGGCAUUUGCCUUGGGCGGCAUUUUUCAGGGGGCGGCAAAAAAAGCCGCCCCCAAAUGCCUUGUGGCUAAUAGACAUGCUGGGCUGGCUGCUGGGCUGGCUGCUGGGCGGGCGGGCGGGCGGCGCUAGUGAGGGAGCACUUUCCCCUGAGCUGUCUGCUCAGCUCCCUCGUGACGUCAUAUUCCGGCUCCCAGCCUCACUCUGCGGGCGGCUCGCGAGGGAGCUGAGCAGACAGCUCAGGGGAAAGUGCUCCCUCGCCAGCACCGCCCGCCCAUCAGCCAGCCCAUCAGCCCGCCCAGCAGCACCCAGGGAGAGGGAGAACCCCCCCCCCAGCAUUCCUAAAGGUAAGUAGGCUGGGGGGUUAAAUUUAAAAAAUAAAAAGUGAGUGUUAAUGUGAGUGAGUGUGUUAUUCUGUUUGUGUGUGUGCCUGACUGUGUGUCUGUUAGUGUGUGUGUGUGUGUCUGUUAGUGUGUGUGUGUCUGUUUGUGAGUGUGUGUGUUAGCGAGUGAGUCUGUUAGUGAGUAUGUGUUUCUGUCAGUGAAAAGGUGUGUGUAUUUAGAAUGUGGUGCGGGGGGGAAGGGUUGGGUGGUGGUGGCGCACGGGGGGGGGGACGCCUGAGUUUUGUCCUGCCUAGGGCAGCACAAAACCAGGAUACACCACUGUGUGUAUGGGAGGGCUGUGUGUUUAUAGGGGGCAGUGUGUGUGUAUGGAGGAUAAUUAUUGUUGUUCUGUGGGGUUGGAGGUUAGAUUAAUAAAUAUAAAAAAAAAUGUAAUAAAAAAAAUAAUAAUUUUGAUUUCCCCCCUCCCUGCUUACAUUCACCUGGGAGGGGGGACAGUACAAGGCAGUCCAUGGACCAUGGUGGUCUAAGUGGUGAGAGUGAACUCUAGCAGCUCAGGCGUGGAAACCACGGCAACGCUCCGAGCUUGCGAGAGGAGAACCCGGUGGAGCUGCAGGUUAGAGCUGCCAGCAUUACAGUGCUAGCGGGCUGGAGAGGGAGAUCUCUGAUCUCCCCUCCGGUCCUGCAGAGCUGACAGGGGAGAGGGAGGCAGAGUUCCCGGUGCUAUGAUCAAAUGAUCAAAGUGGUUAUUUAACUCUUAGAAUCACGAGCAAGACACCCUAGAAGCACAAGAGAACCUGGAGGAUGCUUUGUAAGAAACCUCUAAACCAAGAUCCUAUAAUUCUUGUGGACACCAUGAAGACAUGACCCUAGAUCCUUAAGGACAUGCACAGAAGAGCUAGAACCAUUCCUAGAUAACAGAACCCUUUGCCAUUUAAACUUUCUCCCUACAUAUUAACCUAUUAAUGCUCAGGUAAGCCAUCAAGCAAUAGAUACCAAAAGAUUCCCUUUCCUGAUUAGAGGAUAACUUUUUUUUUCACCCAGAGGUAGAUAUCUUUAGCUAAAGAAUACAUUGACUUGUUAUUGCCUAGAGGGAAAGGCAAUCCUUCAAGCCAUGGUUCCCCAGAGGUUUCCUCCACAGGGGGUUUUUCCUCUCCUUUGUGCUUAAGGAUGACUCUUUGUGAGUCCACAGGUAACUGUAAUCUAUUUCAAAAUCCAGACUAGGUCCAGUUAUCAACAUUGUUCUUAAUUUUAUGUAUUUAAGUUUAUAAUAAAGAUGUUAUGUAACUUUAAUUAUUGUUGUCACUGUAGUAAUUCUCAUUUGAGUAACUUCAAG